UUUUUUUUUUUUUUUUUUUUGUUUCCCCCUUUUUGUUUUUCCUUCUCUUUUCCUUUCCAUUGAUAGAGUGAGAAAGGGAAAAUUUUCUGGUCUUCGACUUGUAUUUUGUUGGUACCGACUACUGAGAUGCUUUCAAUUUCUUGAAUUUGGAACCAAAACACAAUAACUCAUAAUUCAUUUUCUUUCAUUUUCUUUAAGAAUGACACUUUAAAGAAAAUCAACUUACUCUAAAAGAAUUAGAAAAUAAAAUUUUCUAGGUCCCUAGAGAGUUGUCUAACAAGGUCUUGUCAUCAAGUUUUAGCAAAGUAACUGGAUCUUACAGGUUACUACAGAUUAGAUGUGUCAAAAUGAAAGACUCGAGGGGGUUUGGAUGAGUUUUCGAUAAUAGGUAUAAUCGUGUUACUUAAUAUAUUUAUAUCCAUUUAAUAAGCUGGUUCAAAUUGGUUAAAUCAUUUAUACCCAUUUAAUAAAAAGGACAUAGGUAUAUUUAUAGGUAUAUCCAAUUACCUAUUAUGACCUGCUUGAAAUUCUACUUUUCGCAUAAUGUUUGACAAGAAAUAACGAUAUUUUAUUAUGAUUAAAUUAGUGAGAAAUUUAAAUUUAUCCCCCUAAUACUAACCAAAAAUUGAAUUUGAAUAUAUAAUUAUUUUAAAAUAUGUAUAAAUGCAUGAAGCGAAUCAACCCAUUAUACACCAAUUAAAUGGGUCUAAUCCAAACAUUAUUUAAACCAAUUCAAAGUGUAGUGCAUACCCAAAUUCACUUAUUAAUGAGUUUGUUUGGAUGGUUCAACACAAAUGAAUUGUGAUUAACAUCUCUACUUCAGAUCAAUGUAUAUUGCAUGUUGAUUAAAUACAGAUUUUAUCUUAAUCAAAUCCUCAACUUGAUCCUAUCCUCUAUUUUUUUGGUGCAUGGCUCCAUGAGAUGGAUUUCACACGUAUUUGAUUCACAGGGAACUGAAGUUUAUGACAGCAGAAUGCAAUACAAAGGUGCAGCCUCUUCCAACAGUAAGAACUGUUGCUGUCUGCUUUAAAGAGAUCGAUUGUCAUCCUUAUACUCUAAAUAAAUCUAUUUGGUCAAAGAUUUCAAGUGAAUAAUGAUCCUGUAAGCAUAAUUUUUUGUCUUCUCUAACAAAUGUACUCAUGCUCAACUUCCAUUCUGGUUUAAUGUUUUGCGAAGAGGCAACCAGAAUUUCACUCCUUAACACCAUAUUGUACUACUGCUACGUACGAAAUAAAUUUGCAUAACUUACCACAGGGGACAAAAGUUCUGGCAACUGACUUUCCGCUAAAAGACGCAAUAAACUGGAUAAAACUGUGGAAAAUUUCACUAAUUUUAGCUUUCACUAGAUGGGCAUGUGAGCUAAUAUGUCACCUGAUUUAUGUCAGAAACCACCCAAAAAAUGCACGGAGAGAUCAAUUUUGGUACACUAUCAAAAUCUGAAUCCAAAGUAGUAAAUUUGAUAAACAAAAAUGUAACUUCAAUAUUAAACUUAUUCAUCUAGUGUUUUGUCAUUUAAAACGCCCAAAUGAAAAGUUAAAAAAAGGUGAAAAAAUGCGAGACAGAUUAUUCACAGGCAAAUCUUGGAGAGGAAUCCCCUCUCCCACACCCCCUCCCCCAAAACCCAGAAGGAAAAGGGAAAAAGUUUAGAACUUCAGGUUUUGGCCCCCAACAGGGUGUUCAUAAAUAUUGUAGGUAAACCCUCCCUACAUCCAUGUAUGCAUAGAUGUAUUCGUCUCCCAAUGUUCAAUUCCUGAAUCCGAUUGUUUUCAAUAUUUUGUAGGUUUCAACUGCCCAUAUUUUCACCCAAAGAACAUAGACUAUCAUUUAACUUCAGAAUACAAAGUUACAGAUGAGUUGAGUCGAAUUGAAAUCGAGAUUUGGUUUAAUCGAAUCAAAUUCGAUUCAAUUUUACCAAGUUUGAAAUGGAGGUCGAAUUCGAUGAACUUUGAAUGUAAAAUUCGAAAUCGACCUCGAUUUCAAAUUCGAGUCUAGUCGAACUCGAAUUCGAGUCUACUCAAACUUUAAAAAGUAAAAAAAAUAAUAAUUAUUUUAUUUUUUUAAAAAAUGAAUAAAAUAGUCAUUUUUCUUAAUAAUAAUAAAAAUAUUGAGAAAAUAUAUGUAAUUUUACUAUUAAAAUAAUACACACACAUAUAUGUAUAUGUAUAUAUACAUGUGUGUAUGUAUAUGUGUGUGUAUAUUUGAAUAGACUCAUGAGCUAACGAGUCAAGUUUCUCUAUGCUCGACUCAAGUUCGAUAGCUUAAUUUGGUUGAUUCGAGUAUCAUUCGAACUCAAUAUUUACCAAACUUGAGUCAAACUUUAACCCAAUUGACUCGCAAAUGACUUGAUUUGUUUGCAGCCUUAUUCAAAUAAAACAUGAGAGAUAUAUAUGAGUUCUAAAAUCAAUUAAAAAAAUCUUUUCUAGAAUUGGCACAUUCGUAACAUUUUCCUUUUUUUAGGAGAAAAUAAAUCAGAGAAGAUAAUAGCAAGAUUUGAAAAAUAGAAAUUUAAAGAAAUUUUUUUAAGUAUGCCACAAACAUGCAUAUGUGUGUGUAUGCACAUGUACAUGUGACGUCCCGAAAAUUUUUUUUUUCUUAUUUUAUAUCUAUUCUAUUUCUUUUCAUGCAUUUUCUUUAUAUUACUUUAUUACCUUAAUUUCCUAAAUAUUUUUAUAAGUGAGUCAAGCUUUUAAAUCAUUUUCUUGGUAUAAGUUAGUACAUGGUAAGUUUGAAAUGUAUUAUGGACGUGGGACCCGCUAGUGCGGUAAGUGCGGUAAAAUUUUGACUAUUAGGUGAAAUUUUACAUAAAGAAAUGUUAUUUUAUAAGGUGCUAGGGGAUAAUCAGAGGUUAACUAAAUAAAUUAGUUUUGGAAGACAAGAAGAUGAUAACAAAAUCCUAAGAGUCAAGUGUCGCGAAACCGUUGGAAGUUGGACUUUGACCAAACCUUUCUUAACUUUACUAAAACCAAACAUUGACCAAAAUUUUCUCUUUUCUUCCCAUUUUUCUUAGUCUUGGCUGAAAUUCUUGAGAGGAAAAACAAGGGAGAGAAACUUCAUCUUCAAUCCCAACUUUCUUACUUGAAUCUUGAGCUCUAACCAUAGUUUGUACAAACUACUCCAUAAAAGUGCUAACUAAGGUAGGUUUUAAGGUGUUAGUGGAGUAAUUUUGGAGGAACAAGCAUUAAGUUGCCAUCUUUCUUGAGGUUACAAGGUAAGUUUGCCAAGAAAUCCCUCUUUGUUUCUAAUACUACUAUACUAGUGGUUUAAGGUUGUUAAAGUGGUAGUUUUAUGGGAAAUUUCAUGAGUUGAAGUGGUGUUAUGAAAAUUUUCAGUUUUUUUUGGUAAAUUUCUGCCCACAUAUGAUGCUUGAGUGUCGGCCAUGGUUUGAUAGCUUUGCUAUGUGAAAUAUUGAGGUUUUAUAGGUUAGUUUAACUUGUCUAAAGAAAUUUCCAACUUAUGUGCAUAAAUUUCAGUUUAGGGUUUCCAAUUUGGGCUUGAUGGUGGUUGGUUUUGGAGUCAUCAAUUAGCUAAAAUUAAAGGGUGUUGUGGCCCUGAUUAAGUGUGUUUAAUAGCUUAUGAUUUGUAUGUGCAAUUGAGGCUGUUUUGGGUGAACUUUGGUGUUGAUUAUAGGAUGGAUGUUGAUGUCUUCAUAGGAAAUGUAGACCUAUGUCUUAGUUUCGAAACGCCAUAAGAUUCAUCUCAAUCUGAUAAGUGUAGCUUCAGUUGUGAUUAAAAUGCCAAAAGGUGGGAGGAACUUGAUGAUUUUAGAAUUUCCUUUACUUGACAUGAUAUUUGUGAUCUAGGGCUUAGACUUGAGCAAAGAAACUAUCUAUGACGGAUGAGGAUCAUGAGCUGUGGUUGAUGAGUGAUUUCAAAACUGUUUCCAAAGUUACUUUUCGAACUAUUUCUUACACUGCUUACUCGAUUGCAUAUCAUGUGUGCUUGCGUGUGUGCUAUGUAAUGAUUUGGCUCAAAUGAGUGCUUGGAAGUCUUGUACUUAACACCAAUGUCUCCACCUUAAUGACAUUUGACUUGUCUUGAAUGUUGGAGCACCAAUGGCUCCCUUGUGUUACGUGAUUGUUACUUGAUCUAUUUGAGCGUUGGAUGUUUAAGUACAAUUAUUUCACUGGCUCACAAGAGCAAUAAACUUACAUUUGAUCAUUGAUUCAUGACAUCAUCUAAAUGCAUUAUUGUGAAAACUUAUUUGAUUAUUGAUUUUUACUGGACCCUCGCUGAGUUUCUAACUCACCCCAAAUAUUUAUUUUCUCUCCACAGGACUCGAGGCAAAGGAAACACUUAUAUUAACUUAUUAGUGUGACUGGAUGGAAUAUCUCAUAUAUACUUUGAAUUUCGAUUCACUUGUGGUAUGUAAAUUCGUGGAGUAUUUGAUGUAAUAUUUGAGAUUUACAUUGUAAUUUAUUUGAGAACUGUAGUGAGGUAGGGUUGUCACAGUACAUAUAUACACACACGCAUACACACAUGUACAAGAAUUUUGUAAAAUCAACUAGGGGUGUUAACAAGUUGAGUCAAACUCGAAUAGUGCUGUGUUCGAGUUUGAACUCAAUGAUACACAACCAUACUUGGACUCGAGUUCGACUCUGUAAGGACCCGUAAAUUUUCUUUAUUUCAUAAUACUUUAUUUUAUUUUCUCGCAUGCAUUUUCGUCACUAUACCCUAUUAUAUUGAUUUGUCCGAGAUUUUUCCUUAUGGUUAUAUGUCUGUGGGAACGUUGUCUUAAAGAUUGAUUGUAUCUUAUAGUUCGGCUCAAUCGGGCUCUGAAUGUUAUUUCCUCGAAAUUCUUCUGAGCGUUUGGUAGGGUUUCCGUUCGUUCCAGAUUUGAGUCCCGACGAGAGUUGGGCAGGCGGUCCGCCGAACCCUUUGGUUCGCAUUUGAGGGAGGUGGGGCUGUCACAGACUCGAGUGAACAUAAAACUAUGUGGCUUAACUCCACUCAUUAGCAUGCAUUUCCAAGCUUGAACUCGACUCGUUAAGGGUGAAGAUUAGUCUUGAGUUUUAACGAACUUCAAGGCUUGAAAUAAAACUCGAAAAACUAAAAAAAAAAAGCUCAAAAAUUAUGGUAAAUUACCUAAAAUUCUAGUUUCUUUUUUAGUUUUUACAGUAUUACUUUUUUGCCAUUUAAGAAUUUUUUUAAGUAGAUAAAACUUAUGAUAAAUUACCUAAAACAUAAACCCUUAUUAGUCAUUACAUAAUUAAAAUAAAUAUAUAAUACAAAUAAUAUAUCGGUAAUUGAGCUAUUUGACAAGCAUUCGAACAGCACAAAAUGGAGACUCAAACUUGACUUGGUAUAUGCAUCGAGUUAUUCAAGUUCGAACUCGAUCUCAAUUAAAUCAAGUUCAAAUCGAACAUUUGAUUAAAUCGCUCGCGAGUGCCUCAAUUUGCGGCAAGCCCUAAAGCCAGCUGCGGGUUCUUUGUUAUAACUUUUCCUUAGGAUGAUGAAUUGAAUGAUCUCUCACACUCAACUCCAAGUUCCAACCUCCAACUCCAAACGUUUGUGGAAUUGGGGGGACCUCUGGCCAAGGCUACAGAUCAAAGGAGAGGACUAGAACGGAGAUUGAAGCAUGGCCAAAAAAGUUCGAGUGGGAGGCAUCUCCUGUAAAUAAAGUGAAGCAGGAGGGUAGCUGUUGAAUACGAACAAGGAGACAGAUGAGGAUACGAUCGUAUCUUCUAACGUACGACGUUUUCUUUUCAUCUCAGCAAUGCAAUACGUGCCUAUGCCCCUACUCCCACAUGCAUGCUCGCGAAAUUGUCAGCACGCUCUCUCUUUUAUCAUUCAUUCUUCAGUGCCCGCUCGCUUUAAUUCUGUGCAUAAGAACUUGGAUAAGUUCAUACUCUGAUUAUCAAUCAAAAUUUGACAAGUGUGGCGGCAGAGCAGCCGGAAUUAAUAUGUUCUGAGCCGAGGAGUAGAGUUAAAAUCAUAAAUGUACUGCGCAAUGUGUUGUGGCUGUAGGCAGACGCGUCAAUUGGGCUGGACUACUCCAAUUUCGCUUUGAUUUAUCCAAAUUCAGCAUGUUGUGUCUUAUGCGACGUGAGUUGAACUUACUAUAGAUCAAAAUAAUUUGCUUGAUUUAAAUGUCAACUGAACUCGAGUUGUAUUAAUCGUGGCCUAGAUAAUAUAUAUGCUAGGGCUCAUUGUUGGGGGGGGGGGGGGGAGGGGGAGAUUAAAAAUAUUUGUUUAUCUAAAUCUAAUCAAAUAUAGUAUUGAAAUCCAUGCCUUGAUUGGAAUUCGAUUUUUUUUAGAGAAAAUUUUUUAUAUUUUUUGUGAGUAUUUCUCCUACAUAAAAUUUAAUUAUUUUUUUUAUCUUCAUACAUCAUAUUCUAAAAAAUUCUUAAAGUAACUUUUUUCUCCCAAAAAUACAUCCUAAACGGGCUCUUAAAUGACUAAUUUUUUUGAUAAGUUGUUAUUUUUCAAUCUCUAGUUGACAAGUUUACGGAUGUUAUGAUAAAUUAUAUGAUUUUUAUCGUGAAAUUGAAAUUGUUCUUUAGAUAUUAUAGAAUGUAUGUAGAUUAGCUAGUUGUUGCAAACUUAAAAAAUUCAUGAGGUGAAUUUGGUCCUACUCGAAUUACAUUUAAUACCCAACUUUUGUUUUGGUGAACCGAGCAUGAAUUAUAAAAAUGUGAAUCUAACUACGUUAAACUUGGGUUUAAAAGAAUGAUAUUUUACAUGAGUUAAAUUUGAAGGUAUCAAAACCUAACUCACAUCUCCUAAUUGAUAGGUCUAUCUAUAAGAUGGGGGAUGUCCUUUCCUUUCCAAAGCAUUUCAACAAAAAGUUAUCAAUUCAUAAGUACCGAUAGAAAAUAAAUAAUAGUCACUCUUGUUGGUGUCAUAUCUUUGCAUACACAGCUAGAGAAAACUAUUUACUGGAUGAAGGAACACAAGAGAUUAAUGUAGCGAUUUGGAUUGCCGGUUUCCGUCAAAAAAUUACAUCUUUUCCGUGAUCACAUUUUCCUAUCACCUUUUUCCCUCACAUACAUCAAAUCGCUACAGUAUUUUUUCCAUGAAAAAUCACAGAAAAUGCAAUCCAAACACAACCUAAUUUUUCUCAUAAUAUAUAUAAAUUUGCAUGAAACUAGUCUUGCAAUAUGAAUAGUACAAUGAUGAUUGGAAGAAAACUGAAAAGAUUGUGGAAAUAAUUGAUCAAUGCAAUCAUAUGUUUUGAGUGGAUGCUGUGAGAAUUAGGGGAUAUUUUGCACCCCACAAACUUCCGCAAAUUAUACUAACAUGAUAGGCAGCAGGAGACGGUGAAACACGAGAGGAAGCAUUAUAGUAGUGGGGGGUGGUAAAAUAUUUAUGGCGAGUGCAGGUAUCAUCAGAAAAUCUGGGGGAGAAUAGAAAUUGGAUUAUAAUGGAGAGGAACCACAAGAACGGAGCGUGGGCUGUCUCUUCGGGUGUGCCUCUGGUGGGAAAAGGCUGACACAGACGUUGACUCGCAUUGUACGGAAUGUCGACUUAGUCGGACUGUGUGUGUGUGAGAGAGAGAGAGAGAGAGAGCUUUGCGCCCUGUUCAACAACAAAGAGAAAGAGAUGAAAGAAUUACUAUCACAUUAUCAUAAUUAUCAAGCUAGCUAGGCGCGUGUGUUCCCUCGCCCCCUCCCCGCCUUUUCUCUCUCUCUAUAUAUAUAUCUCUCUCUCUCUCUCCCGGGAACCCAAAAAAAAAAAGAAGCCCCCAAAACACAAAAAUGCACUCUUUUUAGGCUAGCCUAUAAGGCUUUUUUCAGGGAGGGUAGAGAAGGAUGGACUUUUCAACUCCACGAGGCUCGGCUGUUUUGUUUAUAAGCUUUGGGGAGUUCUGGUUUGUUUUCUAUUGGACUAGUCACACUUUGAUCCCCUGGACUUUAGGGCAGUCACACUUUGCUGCCACUCUACUUCUCAUAAAAACUAGUUAACCUUGAAAUUCUUAAUUCCAUCGGUUAGUGGUAAGAACUUAUGAUGCUACUGUACUUUUAUUGUUGAAAAUUACUAUUAUUGUCUUUUUAUUGUAAAAAAAAAUAAAAUUUAAAUUUAGAUCCUAUUUGAUAGUCCAAUUUAGCACUUAAACUUAAUGGAUUCAGCUUUUAACAUAUUCAAACCGUUUAAUAACAAAAAAUUUAACAUCUAAAUUAAUUAAGUGGCACUGAAUUUUCUAUAUAAAACUUGCUCUCAAAAUUAAGUUAUAAGCUAUUCACUUAUCACUAUAAUAUGCACUCAAAUGUAUUAGAUUUAAUAUUAAAUAAUUCAAUAAUUUAAUAGAUUCAAAUUUCAAAUUUCAGUUUUAUCAAACGCACCCUUAAUCUCCGUUUUCUUCUUCUAAGCUUAAAAAUAAGACAUAUUAGCCCUUUUGAGGCAAUUUUGGUUAAGCAUUUAAUGUUUCACUAAUUUGAUAAACAAAAAAUGACAAUAAAAUUAUUAUUUUAGUUUAUGUAAGCUUAACAAUGAAAUAUAUAUUUUGAAAAAUGACAAGCUUAAUAUUACCUUAUGUGUUCAAAAUUUUCCUAAAUGUCUUUAUUCUUAUCACUAUAUUAUUUAUCCUUAUUGUUUCAUUUAAAGUCUAAUAAGUAAGUAAGUAGGUAUGUAAGUACGUAUGUAUGUAUGUCUAUGUAUGAACAUUAAUCCAACAGGAAAAAUUUUAAACAUAAAAAAUUAAAUAUAAAACUUUUUUUUCUUUUACCAAAUUGAUAUUUUUGUAUAAUGAAUACUAGAAAAAAGGUGUAUAUCUCUUAAUAAUAAAAGGAAAAUAAUAGUAUGUUAUAGAUAAUCUAAUAGAUAAAAGGGCAAUAAAAUCAUUGCACUCACUUUUUCUUGCCUAAUUUAAGAUUUCUAAAAUUCAAGGGGGGCAAAUAUGUGACUAAAUCUUUUCUAUUUUCCCCACAUUUCUCCUAACUCCUAUCGUCCACAUGUUGUAGGCCAAGCAAGCAUCCAAACCGAUCAAGUUUGGUGGUGAGAAAACAUGGGAAUGGCCAUCGGUUUAAGGCCAUAAAACAGGCCUACUUGGCAAAUCAUGGAUCUUUGCCUGGUAACUCGAAAGACUGGGACUGCAUGGGAAUGGCAGGCACCUGCCCCGUGGGGGGAUUAAUAGGCGGGGGAUGGGGCGCCGGGAGGGGGAUGGGAAGGAGGAGAAUAUUUUUCCUCUGCCCCGCCACCCAUUAUAUAUAUAUAUAUAUAUAUAUAUAUAUAUAUAUAUAUAUAUAUAUAUAUAUAUUUAUAUGUAUAUAUAAUAUUUAAUUUAAUUAGUUACAAACUUAUAAUGAUAUUAUUAGUUAUAGUUAUUAUAUAAUGUAUAUUAGUAUAUAAUUGAUAUUAUCAAUUAUACUAAUAAUUAUGCAUGUCUACUAAUAGAAAUUAUUAAUUAGUUAUACUAAAUUUUUAAUUAUACUUAACACAAUAACACUUAUUUCUCGAAAGUGAAAACUUGACGUGCGACAAAAAAAAAAAAGAAAACUUGACUAUUUUAGUUGUAUUUGUUUCAUCAAGUUAAAUUGUAUUCAAAUAGUUUUUAUGAGUUCAAUUACGAAAUUACAAUGAAUAAUGAUUUGAUGAAAUGUUGAUAUUCUAGUACUGAAUUAUUUAUUAAAAUUUGAUUACAAUAAAAUUAUAUGACAACUUUUUAUUAACCCUGCGCCGCGAGAACGAGAGGGAGGGGCGGGGUAAGCAGUGGGCAGCGGGGCGUCCCCACCCCAAACCCGCCCCGUUGCCAAUCCUGGGAAUGCAGCCAGUUACCACCCGACGUCCAUGAGUCCAUCAUUUGGCUUAUAUAGGACACGUAUUUUGGCGUCUUGACUAAUUUUCACCUUGUUCAGACGUAGUUGUGUAUUCUGUUAGGUGGGUAGCUAAAUGAGAAAAACAUUUCGAGGAUAAGUUUUCUGCGGGCAUGCUCUAUGUACAUUAUCAUUUUGGAAAAAAGACCGAUGAUCAAUCGAAAAAGUACUUGCUAUGCACUUCACUUAGUGGGUUUGAAUUGAAUUAGUUCUUCUUCUUUCAAGUUUCAAGUUUGUUACAUUUGUCUCUUCUUGGUUUUCCACUUUCCAAAAUGGCAAAAGAAGCUUUCAUUAGUAGCUUUCAAUUGGAAAAGUUCCAUGUCAUAAAUCACAUGUGCCUUCCAUUCGCAAGCAAUUGGCACAUCGGUUGCCGUCUCUGUAGGCAGCUAUAGCACGCUAGGCCUUGUUCUCCUCUCCGUCACUAACUUCUUGCCAUCUCAAAGAAGUGACAAUUAAAUGGUUACCAGCAUAAUGUCUCUUUUUACUGUUAAUAAUUUGUGGCAGAUUAAGCUCAUAACGACCACUCUAGUCUUGUUCACUUGGGAUAAUAUCAGAAACCUCCCUGAGGUUUCUUUUAAUAUCACCUGACACCUCUAAAAUUUUAAAAAAUCACUUAACUCCCUUAUUUUUGUUAUUUGUGUAACAAAAUUUUUAAAUAUCAUAAACUACCCAUUUACUUGCUACAUAAAAAUUAUUCCUAAACCGCUUUGUUUGCUUCGAAAAAAAACCUUUAUCUAAAAAACAAUUUCUAGUAAUACUACCACAUUAUAAUGCUAUAGCCCAUAAAAAUAUAAUUUUGAAAAAUAAAAAAAGAUAUUUGCAAAGAAAUACACUUGCACCAACGUAACUCCAUGUGCUCAAAAUUAAUUUCUUAUGAACUUUAUAUUCUUUUCCAACCUCUUCUCAACUCGUGCCCAAACUUUUAAAUUGUACCGUUCACUGUAAAAAUCAAUUCAAAUUAAGUAAAUAAAUCAUAACCCACUCUAUCACUAUCGCAAAAAGUAAAAGAUAAAUAAUAUUUAAUUUAUUGUAAUUUAUAAAUAAAAUAUUGCGUAGUCAUCCAAAAAAUAAGUAACAGAGAAUGUUGGAGCAAAGGGAAAGAGAAAAAAAUGACUUUCAUUUCUUUCUUUUUUUAAAAAAAAUUUUUGAGCUCCGUUUAUUUGAUACGUGAAUUAUGUAUCAAGUGAGAGUUAAUAUAAUCUUUUUUAUAAUUAUUAGUGAGAGUAAGUGAUAUUUUUAAAACUUCAAGAGUGCCAAGUGAUAUUAGGAGAAAUCUCAAGGGAGGUUUCUAAUGUUAUCCCUUUUUAGUUAGACUAAACUUCUCUAAAACUUUUUCCACGUAAAUACUUAAAAACUCUUUUUUCUUAUUCCCAUUUUUAAAAGCCGACACUAUUCAUUCAGGAAAAUACUUGAUCAUGAUCUGUUAAAGGAACAUCACUGCAGAACCCAGCCCCCGCGUGUCAAAAGCACAAUAUACUACUGGUUCUGGUACCAGCAAUAAUUUUGGUUCACCAAUCCUAUGGUAGCUUGAUUGACUCUGUAGCUCUGGCCAAGGUAUAAUUAAUUGUGAGGUUAGGAUGGAUAGCUCAUUUCUGUCUAAACAACACACGGGACCAGUCACAUAUGGUAGUAGUUUUUUUUGGGGGCAAUAUCAUUGAACUCAAAAUCAGAGAUGACCCAGGUUUUGACGUCUUCCGGUUAGUGUAAAUUGUCAAAAAUCAGCAAAAUGGUUAAAACAACGCAGCACAGAAAGAGAAGCAAUCCGAAUGCUACAAAUUGAAGGGCUGUCUGUUGGUACUCGGAAUAGAGAGUGAAUGGCAAAAUCGGAGACAUAUGCAUCAACAUUUUGGUGGUAGUUAAACAAAUUGACAUUUUCAUCAUCCACCAAUGCAUUUCUACCCUUUAAUGACUUGUCAAUUCUCUCCUGUAUUUAGUUCUCUCUUCCAGCUGAGUUCCCUUUUUCUAGCCCAUGUGAUCAUUAAGCAUAGAAACUUUCCGCAUGGAAAAAAAAAGAAGAAGAUUUCAUGCAAUAAUAUAAUCCCACAUCGUCAGCCAAAGUCUCUAAGUUAACUAAUAGUAAAAAUCUUAAUCCCUCCAAUUAUUUUCAAUGAAUUUUGAGUUGAAACCUCAGGUUCUUUAACACCGCUAGCUCUAACCAUUACUAUAACAUUGUAGUUGGGGUUUUAGUCUUGUGCCUUUAUUUUUAUUUGGUUGGCAUAAAGUGCACAAGUUCGUCAGUCGAGUAGUUUGUGAAUUGGAAGGUCUAAAUUAAUUAGGAUGCCGACAAUUCAGUUUAGAUGAUCUAAGAGGAUUAUGAGUUAUGACACCUACCCACCACCAAAGCACCACCAAAGCCCAAUCAUGGGAUGCAGCUGUUAAUCUUGUCUUCAGUCGAUGAUUUAACAUCAUCAAACGACUAUUUCAAUAGCCUAGGACAGUCCGAGCAAAAAUCCUAGCAAGGGGGUCUUCACUUCUGCUGAUGUUGUCUCUAGUGGAAGAUUUAACAUCAUCAAACAUCUAGUAUUUUGAUAGCCAAGUACAAUCCGAGCAAAAAAUCUUUGCUAGGGGGUCUUCACUUCCUUUGAAUUCUGUCUGUCAUGCGUAAAGGGAACAAUUCAGUGUAAACCAUCGUUCCUAUCUUUUAGAGCAAGGAAUGUACGGGAAAGCAAAGGAAAGUUGAGAUAAGGGAAACCAUUUCUAAGAUUAAAAGCUGGUGCAUUUUCUCAAAGUCAUCCAUCUGUUUGGUUGAAAACGAAACAGUCGCAGGUGCCAACAAAAGACUCAACCGAACCUCAAAAGAGUUUUAACCUUCGCUAUUUGAAAGCAACCUUCCUCUGCCUCUUUUCACAGACGUUUUAUCUUCAACAGUUUGGACAUAAUAUUAUCCCACCUGCCUAGUUAGGUAUAUUCUUGAACAACAUUUGUUCUAAUUGACAGAGUCAAGCCCCCAAAAGUUGGCCCAUAUCAAAACAUAGCUGAUUGAGCUGAGUAUUACGUGCAUUCAAUCACACUAUUGAUGAAGGGUUAACAACUCAUAUUUUGCACCCCCCCCUCCUUCACACUAUUACUAGAGUCACAUUUACUUUGAUUUAUGUAUUGAAGCCCCACCACAUCAACAUGUCAUUAGGCAAACAAAAGGAAGUCCAUGUGAAAGACACCUAACUUGCAUAUACUGAAGGUCAAAUUGUAUGUAGUCUGUCACGCAUCUAAAUGAUUAACAACUCCUUUUAUUGAUAAAAAGAAGUUGCGACAUGCUUAAACUUCCCUUUGUUUUUUUUUUUAAACCAAAAAAAAAAAAAACUGUCCAGUAACUUUUUUAAGGGAUUAAUUUUUGUGAUGGUUAUCUCCGUCUUAGAGUUUAUAAACAGCACUUUAAGAUUUCAUGCAACUAUAAUGGAACAUGCAUGAUGAUUAACCUAACAGUAGUAUUAUUGCCUCCAUUUCUUGAAGGGAUCCCGGCUCCACAGGUCUUGUCACCUUAAAUGACAACAAAGGCAAGAAGAUCGUGCAAGAACAUACAAGUCAAAUUGGAGGUGGUAACCGUGGCUACCCCCGUUUCGCCAGACAGAAAAUAUAAAAUUGUAGGAAACAGCAUAAUAUUCGCAAUGCAUGCAAGUCAGGCAGCAUUAUCAUCAUUGAAUACUUGAUGUUGAAUACUUACAUAAUAGGCAAGGGCAAGGGCAAGAGUAGUUCUGCUGCGCCAAAACUAUUUUCUGUGGCUUGUCAACAUCUCAAGUCUAAUGAUGCAGAAAAUGAUAGUGAUAAUACAUUCCCAAUACAGUGAUUUAGAUUAUAAAUCAUGUGCAGGUCCCUCUUUGGCUCGUACCGUGACUCAGAAAAAAAAUAUCAAGUCAAAAUGAUAUGUUCGCCGCACUGACAAGAAAACUUUUAGGCAUUGGUCCACUUUUUAAGAUUCUAAUUUAUUGUGUUACACCAACAUGACAACGUCAAUCCAGCUUGAUCACUAGAACAACACCUACUCAAAUUUUAGAUCGAUGAGGAAUGGCCAGAAACAAUAAAGCGUCUGAAUCCCACAUAACACGAGAUGAGAAAAAGCAUGGAUGAUUAUAGCAUCAGACACAGAAUUAUGAUGGUCUCGUAUCUUCUGUGGUCCAAAGGGAAACAUGUUUAGUCAUUCCAUGGAUUAUGACGUCAAUAAAUGCAAGCAAUACAAAUCAUCACCAGAGAACCAAAAAUCAUGAAUGGCGAAGCCAGUUUCAAACAGGAGAUGCAGAGAACCAAGCGAACAUCUCGCAUACUCAACCAAUGAAAAGGGUACGAUGCCCAAAUUUAGAAUUUUUGGAUGCACAAUUAUUGUUCUUUUUUUUUUUUUUUCCAGCAACGAUAACAAUUUGUAUAAUCUAUUCUAACCUAAUCUAAGAAGAAAGAGAGGGAAAAGCCACAAAUAGUGAUUGAUGAGAGGCAAGGAUCAAACCCUUGACCUCCCACCUCCACCGAGACUUGACUUAAAGAUGUCUUGGUGGCACAAUUAUUGUUCUUUUUCCACUUGACAAUUUUCUUUAUUUUCUCUCUUUGUAACUCGUUGUUUGUAACGUUCAUUUCUAAUGGGACCAUAUGUUGAUCCUCUGAUUAAUUGAGUUAAAUGGCGCGCGUAUGGGCACACGCACAUGCAAGAGUGUGCUUAAAUGUUUUUCUUUAGUGUUGCAGCACAAAAAAAAUAAAAGUUCUGAAAAGUGCCCACCAAUCUCCAGGUAUCAGUAGAAGAACUGAUUGUGCCUUUAAUGUAAAUAUAUUCAGCAAAAUGAUAAUGCAAGUAGACGGCCAGAUGUCAAAAUCUUUUAGUUUUUCAAGGAAUAAGUUACAGGCAUCGGGUGCACAUCAUUGAGAUAAUUGUUCUGGUUCGCAGACCGAUUUGGAUUGUUUGUUGAAUGUUGACGAGAGAUUGGAGAACACCCUGGAACUAAUCUUGUUAGCAUAAACUCCAAUCCCCUUUUUCUGACAUUUAAAGGGGCCUCUCCGUCACUUUGCUCCACGCAAAUUCUGCAUAACAUUUCAGCAGACAGGCAAUUAAGGACCAAGAACAGGUGGAGGGUCGAAAGUAGUUAGAUACUUCAAGCUGUACAGACAAAUUUUGCCUAAUGUGGUCGAACGCACUAGCAAGAAUAAGCAGCAGUGAACAAUUAACACUGGUUUUUCUUUCAAGAUCUUUACAAGUAAACAAAACGAACUUCGCUGAAGGUGGAAGAUACCAUUGACAUGCAAACUUACAGUAAGACCAUUUUGAAUAUAGGCUAAACGGAUCUCACGUAACAGUAGCGAGUUAAAACCUUCAAGAAAAACUUUGCAAAUACGCAUAAUCCAUUAACCUGGGAUAAUUCGUGAUCUGUCACAUCAAAGGCUUCUACAAUUCAGGCAAAUGCAGCGUCCAAAGCCACAAGAAUAUAUAUAUGGGCCAAAUUAGGUUAGCCUGAACUCCCCAUCAAUUUUUCUUUCAAACUGCCAUUGCUCCUUUGACAUGUCAAGGGUUCUAGCCUUUUAACGAGGCAGUGGGAUCAACCCUAAUAUGUAUAUGCUAAUGUAAUACAGGACUUUUGUGCCACACAAAAUGCAUAUUUACACCAGCGAGAGCUUCUAGAGAAACUAUUCCAUGAACAUCUAAAUAACAAAUUCAUUACAGUCAACCAUAUUGUAUCGCUCAGUUAUUUUGCCAACCAAUCCACCCUACCUAAGUUUUAGUACGUUUAGCAUCUCCUUCCGGCACUUUAAGCAACUAUUACUCCAUGAAUUCGAUUUGCAUCUAAAGGCAAUUGUGGAUGACAUCUCCGUUCCACAGCACAUAUCUAUGUUCAUAGCGUCAUUAAGCAAAUGAUUGUCUACUUUCUCGCAUCAGCAGGAUGCUUUCCCGGCCAACUAGAUUAUUUCAGUAUCCAGCAACCAAUUCAAAUGAAUGUACACCAAAAGGUUUCCAAUGAAUUGGCCAUUCAAUGUUUACCUCUUCCCAGGAACCAAUUCAAAUGAACGUACACUGAAAAAUUUUUCUAACGAAUUGGCCAUUCAGUCUUUACCUCUUCCCAGUGAAUCAAGACCAAAAUGGAGGGAGAGAAAAAAGAUGGGGAAAAAGGAGGAGGUUAGAGAAGACAUCAAGCAGAAUUAACGGCAUUGCUUGAAUGUCUUCAUACCAACUUCAAUCUCUGAAGUUGGUGUGAAAAGGAAAAUUCCCCAGGACAAAGAGAAGAAAAAUCACUAAUCAUCUUCUUCAGUUAUAAAAGUUCCAUUUGGCCCCACAGCCACCACAUAACUACCACAUUAACAUAUACUACGUCUAUUGUACAGGAAAACCAAGAAUUCUUACCAGGCUUAUGUAAUCCAAUAUUCCUGGACCUAUAAAAUUUACGGAGAGUAUCAAUCCAUACUUACCUUCGUAACACUGGAGCACCAACCAGAAAGAAAUAAAACUUUGACAACAAGAUCCAAUUUUGUUAAGCUACUAGCACUACAUGCAUACAAUUAGCAGAACAGCAAGCACAUUUUUCCAGUAAAUAACACUCAGAAAAGAACCACCACAUUUCUGCAUUAAGCUGUAGAACAUGUAAUAACAAAUCCAAAUGCCCAGACUAUAGGAACUAACUACACAGAACAUUUUAUUUUCCUCACAAGAUGAACUCAGAGGAGCAAAGUCAAUGGCAUGACAAAUACUAUGAAAUCCAACUCCCAGCUAAAUAAGUUUGGGGUUGGCAUUGGCCCUCGGUGAAACAAAAUGAAAACCCCACUGACAGCAACCUAUUCAAUUAGUUUGCCAACAAUCAUGUAUUGUAUAUAUCCAUUGACACAAUUUAACUUUGCAAUUGGGCAUAAUUCUACAAGAUCCUCAAAACGGUCAUCUCGACCACUAAUGAAAAAGCUUGGUAGCUCAUAGAAACAAGGUACAAAGAACCUUCACUUCUCAAAAGCACAAAUUAGUCCCAUGAAAAGUACAAGAACACAGACAAAUAAUCUAAUAAGUAUACUUGAAUGAUGAGAAGAGGAGACCAACCUUGGGAGUAACUGCUAUAUGCUCAUGAAGCCAGGUAUUAUAUACACAAUAAGAAAAAUGAAUGCGAAAGAUACAAGUUCACAAGUUGUGAACAGACUAACCAUGAUUUCCAAGUUCACAAAACCUGUAUGAUGUGGUGCUUGAUUACACAUUACCCAACAUGAAUGAAUACACAAAUAUACAUCCAUGGAAGCAUACAGUUUCUUGCUGAGUCACAAG
rnacentral:lncRNA from 1 species